rnacentral:rRNA from 1 species
GUGGGGAAUAUUCCGCAAUGGACGAAAGUCUGACGGAGCAACGCCGCGUGAGUGAUGAAGGUUUUCGGACUGUAAAGCUCUGUUGUUUGGGACGAAAGUGCCUGUUGCGAACAGUUACGGGUAUUGACGGUACUAAACGAGGAAGCCACGGCUAACUACGUGCCAGCAGCCGCGGUAAUACGUAGGUGGCAAGCGUUGUCCGGAAUUAUUGGGCGUAAAGAGCAUGUAGGCGGGAAUCUAAGUCUGUUGUGAAAAUGCGGGCUCAACCCCGUAUUGCGAUGGAAACUGGUUUUCUUGAGUGCAGGAGAGGAAAGGGGAAUUCCCAGUGUAGCGGUGAAAUGCGUAGAUAUUGGGAAGAACACCAGUGGCGAAGGCGCCUUUCUGGACUGUGUCUGACGCUGAGAUGCGAAAGCCAGGGUAGCGAACGGGAUUAGAAACCCGGGUAGUCC